AGUCAACAGAAGAUGUGGGUUAGAAUUCAUUAAGACCAAAAACUAAACACCUUCUCUUAGAUAUUUGUUUGAAGUUGUCACAAAACAUUUACUGUACCGAAACCAACAGUUCAUGUAAAAAAGUUCAAGUUAGUUUAUCUUAGGAGUGCCUAUGUAUCCAAAUAGGCUUAAUUGCUGUAGGGUGUACAUUUUUUAGGUCUUCCCUGGUUUUUAUCACAUACACAAAAUUAAACACUUUCCUUUUAUCCAUAAAUAUAAG
rnacentral:lncRNA from 1 species